GUGCUCACUUGGCAGCACAUAUACUAAAAUUGGAAUGAUACAGAGAAGAUUAGCAUGGCCCCAGCAUAAGGAUGACAUGCAAAUUUGUGAAGCAUUCCAUAUAUAU
rnacentral:snRNA from 1 species